GACGCUGCAGAGUCCAAGGCCAUUCAGGGCAUGGCAUGUUGGAGGAGAAUCCGCCUUGGAAUAAAUCACAUGGCCUGAUCUUGGUGGCUCACUGAAGCACACAGUGAGGCUACGUCACACCUGUUAUCCCAGAGUUUAGAAAGAUGAGGCGGGAAGAUGGGAAGAUGGCGAACUCAAGACUAGUGUGAGCGGUACCACGAGUUCUCAGCUAGAACAAACCCAACAGCUCGGCGGUUAAGAUCACACACUGCUCCUGUGGAGAACCCAAGUUCUAGUCCCAGUACCCACAAUGGGUGGCUUACACAUACCUGUAACUCCAGCUCCUCGGGACCAGUGUACGGACACUUCCUUGUCCGUAUGUAUAAUUAGAACUUAAUAAAAUAAAACAAACAACCAAGAGCUGA
ensembl:lincRNA Gm43568 predicted gene 43568